AUCUGAAGAUUUCAAAGACCUGCGUACACAUUAAUUAUUCUCAUAGCCCUACGUGGAGGAGGGGAAUCCACAGAAGCGUCAUUUGGGCAUCUUCCUCCGAUUGUUGUUGCUUCACAUUGUUUGAAACAAGAUAUCUCUCAGCAUCUGCAACACGCCUCUUCGGUGAGUGCAUGAUACACGCUGUGGGCGUGGGACCUGCAAGCUCACAUUCCCUGAAUAAUGAAUGUUUCCUUUGGCGGUGUGUAUCCAGCCUGAAGUUACACACAGGUGACGGUGGAGCAAGAGGGGAGAUUAGUGAACCCAGCUGUUCUACCCAUUGAGAACAUUCCUAAGAUGAAAGGCCAAAUCGAAGGAUGACAACAGCCUCCAUAGGCAAGUGGACAGAAUUGCUCUUUCAGCAGUGGAGAGGGAGAAGAGAUUCUGAUUUUCCAGUCUAGCUAAUAUGGAGAAACAAAUCCCUUAUACGUCUGACAACAGUGUCUUAAGGCUUUUUUACCCAGGACAAGGUAUAAUCAGCUAUGCUGGAAUCUUCGGAGCCCCAUAUUCCCCUGGAGGCCACGGCAUUCAUGUUCCUCCGGAGAUAAAAACCGCUGGCCUUUCAAACGUGAGUAACACCGUCUGGGACUAAGAUUGGAGCCUCACC
rnacentral:lncRNA from 1 species